AACGAACGCUGGCGGCAUGCCUAACACAUGCAAGUCGAACGAGACCUUCGUGUCUAGUGGCGCACGGGUGCGUAACGCGUGGGAACCUGCCCUUAGGUUCGGAAUAACUCCCCGAAAGGGGUGCUAAUACCGGAUAAUUUCUUCGGAUCAAACAUUUAUCGACUUUGUAUGGGCCCGCGUUGGAUUAGCUAGUUGGUAGGGUAAAAGCCUACCACGGCGACGAUCCAUAGCUGGUCUGAGAGGAUGAUCAGCCACACUGGGACUGAGACACGGCCCAGACUACUACGGGAGGCAGCAGUGGGGAAUAUUGGACAAUGGGCGAAAGCCUGAUCCAGCAAUGCCGCGUGAGUGAUGAAGGCCUGAGGGUUGUAAAGCUCUUUUACCCGGGAUGAUAAUGACAGUACCGGGAGAAUAAGCACCGGCUAACUCCGUG
rnacentral:rRNA from 1 species